rnacentral:rRNA from 1 species
GUGGGGAAUUUUGGACAAUGGGCGAAAGCCUGAUCCAGCCAUGCCGCGUGUGUGAAGAAGGCCUUUUGGUUGUAAAGCACUUUAAGCGAGGAGGAGGCUCCUUUAGUUAAUACCUAAAGAGAGUGGACGUUACUCGUAGAAUAAGCACCGGAUAACUCUGUGCCAGCAGCCGCGGUAAUACAGAGGGUGCGAGCGUUAAUCGGAUUUAUUGGGCGUAAAGCGUGCGUAGGCGGCUUUUUAAGUCGGAUGUGAAAACCCUGAGCUUAACUUAGGAAUUGCAUUCGAUACUGUAAAGCUAUAGUAUGGGAGAGGAUGGUAGAAUUCCAGGUGUAGCGGUGAAAUGCGUAGAGAUCUGGAGGAAUACCGAUGGCGAAGGCAGCCAUCUGGCCUAAUACUGACGCUGAGGUACGAAAGCAUGGGGAGCAAACAGGAUUAGAUACCCCUGUAGUCC